CUUUGUCUUGAUAAAUAGUCCCAAACUGUUUGUUGUUUUUUUAUUAAAAAUUGAAAAUAUGGCAACCCGUAUCAACCGUAUGUGUAUUUUCAUUGCAAUUGUGUGCAUCGUUUUCAUUUUGACUCAAGAAAGAUGUGAUGCUAUUCCGUCGCGAUUCUGUAAGAAACGACCUGAUAUAUGUCCAGAUCGUAAUGCAGAAUGUGUUAUAUGGUGUGCAAAAGUGGGUAUCAUUUUCGGUACCGGCUGUGAAGGAGACCUAUGUUGCUGCGGAGAAUAACAUAUAUGCCUUUGUACUAUUUAAUGUACACAUUCUAUCUUUCCGCUGAUAUCAAAAUAAUUGAGAAAUAAAUACUUAAAUUUCAGUCUUAAAAU